UUGUUCUCUGUAUUGAAGUUAAGCCAUCGAUCAUCGCUAGCUAUAACUAGAUUGAAUCCCUAUAUUGAAAACUUGUUAGGAUAAUACAUGAGGCUCCGUCACUCUCGAUGUUGACCAUUUAGAUAUUAUUCUAUCAUACAUAUGUGUGAUGAUUGCACGGUGUUAUUAUAUGUUUGCAACCUAAAGUUUGCAAGACUACUUGCUCAUAUUUUAGAUUAUGACCAUAAUUUUUAGAUGAGGAAAUUGCAUCUCAUGUCACUUUUUGGAUUGGUAUUUUUAAAAAUGUCACAUUUUAAUAAUCUUUGCAAGAAUGUUAAUUUUGGACUUUUUUACCCUCUCAAAAAUCUAAUUACCUUGCAUGUCAUUAAUUAAAGUUGAUUUGACUAGAUGAAAAAAUGGUUCAAAAAACGAAAAAAUAUCACAUCAAAUCAUCCACCCUUAUUUUUUAAAACCAUUUUCCAAUUUUGUACGUAUUCCCAUUUUGCAAGCCCACUUGCUAAACCUAUUUCACAUUGCAAACUAAACCCAUUUCACACAAAAAUGGUGAAGAAGAAUGUGAAGAAUUUCCAUCCCCACAAUAAUCACUUUCCCAUCUCACGAUCGAUAACCCACACCUAGUUGGAAUACAUUUCAAGUUCAAUAUCUGAUUGUUCAUAUUUGGCUCCAAAUUCAAAUUGAGGUAAAUGCCACUUUCAUUUUUUUAGAUUUACAUGUUUUGAAUAAUUUAUACUUUAAUUGUGUUAUGGUUGGUUGCAAUCUGACAAAAAACGAAAAAAUAUCACAUCAAAUCAUCCACCCUUACUUUUUAAAACCAUUUUCCAAUUUUGUACGUAUUCCCAUUUUGCAAGCCCACUUGCCAAACCUAUUUCACAUUGCAAACUAAACCCAUUUCACACAAAAAUGGUGAAGAAGAAUUUGAAGAAUUUCCAUCCCCACAAUAAUCACUUUCCCAUCUCACGAUCGAUAACCCACACCUAGUUGGAAUACAUUUCAAGUUCAAUAUCUGAUUGUUCAUAUUUGGCUCCAAAUUCAAAUCGAGGUAAAUGCCACUUUCAUUUUUUUAGAUUUACAUGUUUUGAAUAAUUUAUACUUUAAUUGUGUUAUGGUUGGUUGCAAUUUGAACAUUUUGGAUUAUAUUGAAGUAUAUUUUCAUAUGUAUAUAAUUUUGAUGUUUAGUUCAUUUACAUAUAUAUCGAAUAACUUUUAAUAUUAUUAAUCAAAUUUUAAUAAACGAUCGGGCUAUUACAAUCGUUCAUUGUCGACGGUAAACAGUCAACCUCCGUCCUAGCAGAACUUCAAUCUUGGAUUCACGCUUGAUGGUAUGGUCUAUAAUUAAGCAACAAUUUACUUAAACUUUUGUAUUCUUUUUAGCUUGUGUUUCUAUUGGUCAUCUUAUUAUUUAAAAUAUAUCAAAAUAAAUUACACGUUCUUUGGGACGUAAGAAGAAGGCCUUGAAUUUCCAACUUGUUUGAAAUUGUUUGUGAUAUUUUGGCCAAGUAAUCUUUGAAAUACAUGAAAUUAUUGGCUAUGGCUCAUAAUUUUGUCUAUUUUAUUUAUCUAAUGCCUAUUUUAAGACUAUAGGGGCUUGAUUAUUUUUACAAUAUGGGGGAGACAUUACAUGCUUUUUAAUUUCCCAAGUUCAUAUUUUUUGGCACUUGGGAUGUUCUUAAAUUCGUUGCCCAUUUAUGUUAUAAUUAUUUGGUUCUUUGUUGAUUAUGGGUGAAUGACAUUCAACAAUAUUUAGUUGUUCACCAGUUAUGAGUACCCAUAUUAUAUCCAAGCAUUUCAUUGAAUUGUCAUGAAUCCUUGAAGAAGGAAAAGAAAAAAAGCUCUAAACUAAUAUUAGUACAAUUGAACUAGAAAUUCAAUAACUCUAAAUAUUAUUUGACCUGGUCAAUUAAAUCAUCAGUGGAUCAACAAUGUUUCGAAAUAAGAAUUCGAAUAAAUGGUAAUUGAAGAACCAUAAGAUUCUUCAACUAAUGAAUUCUCGUAUGAUGCUUGUUCUCUGUAUUGAAGUUAAGUCAUCGAUCAUCGCUAGCUAUAACUAGAUUGAAUCCCUAUAUUGAAAACUUGUUAGGAUAAUACAUGAGGCUCCGUCACUCUCGAUGUUGACCAUUUAGAUAUUAUUCUAUCAUACAUGUGUGAUGAUUGCACGGUGUUAUUAUAUGUUUGCAACCUAAAGUUUGCAAGACUACUUGCUCAUAUUUUAGAUUAUGAGCAUAAUUUUUAGAUGAGGAAAUUGCAUCUCAUGUCACUUUUUGGAUUGGUAUUUUUAAAAAUGUCACAUUUUAAUAAUCUUUGCAAGAAUGUUAAUUUUGGACUUUUUUACCCUCUCAAAAAUCUAAUUACCUUGCAUGUCAUUAAUUAAAGUUGAUUUGACUAGAUGAAAAAAUGGUUCAAAAAACGAAAAAAUAUCACAUCAAAUCAUCCACCCUUACUUUUUAAAACCAUUUUCCAAUUUUGUACGUAUUCCCAUUUUGCAAGCCCACUUGCCAAACCUAUUUCACAUUGCAAACUAAACCCAUUUCACACAAAAAUGGUGAAGAAGAAUGUGAAGAAUUUCCAUCCCCACAAUAAUCACUUUCCCAUCUCACGAUCGAUAACCCACACCUAGUUGGAAUACAUUUCAAGUUCAAUAUCUGAUUGUUCAUAUUUGGCUCCAAAUUCAAAUUGAGGUAAAUGCCACUUUCAUUUUUUUAGAUUUACAUGUUUUGAAUAAUUUAUACUUUAAUUGUGUUAUGGUUGGUUGCAAUCUGAAGUUGAGGGGGUGGGGGGGAAUUCGUAUAUAUGGUUUCGAUUUAAUAAGUGACCAUAUUCAAGCUCCUAAAAAAAUUGAGAUUUUGAAACAUUUUCCAUAUAAUGUUGGGUAGAAUUAUUUAGUUUGUUUGAUUUUUUUGGUUUAAGAAAAAUCUAGAUUUGUUCCUUUAUUUUUUCUCCUUCUAUGUAGUAUUCCUAUUUUUUGAGUUAGAUUUGUUCAUUUAGACUUGUAACUAGGAUUACUUAAUUUUUAACGACAUAUAUGCUCUCUGUUUAUGAAAAAGCGAAAAUAUGUGAAAAAUGUAGUGCGCUCUUGUUUAAUGAAUUACAUUUAGGUUGCACUUGAAAGUAAGAAUAUAUGAAACUUUAGUACACUCUUGUUUAGUGUUAGUUGUAUGAUUUUGACAAUUUUACUUGAUUUUGAAGUUUUAUAGAGAAUUACUUUCCGAAUAUGUUAUUGUUUUGUGGGAUAUCGUUGAAGUAAAUUAUUGUCAUACUGUGUUAUGAAUUUAAGUUUGCAUGAAGUUUGUCUCAUUUUUUAAUUUAUAAAUCAAUUUAGUUACAUUUAUUUGUAAGCUUGUUUAUUUAUCUAUACAUUUUGAUAUUUUUUAUCGAGUCAUUGAUUCAAUUUUGAAUAAAUAAGGAGUUAUGUUUACUCUGUGAUUAUGUUUUCUCAAAGAUUUGAUUAUUCAAUUUGUAAGUACAAUAAUUUAAAUGCAUAUGUUGGGAUCUUUUUUAUCUUUUACUGACAGUGAGUUGUUAAAUCGAUUUAUGGUCUGUUCACUUAUCGUUUGGAUUGAAUUUUUGAGUUUAAUUUGAAUGUGGGCUAAAUUUGUGAGUUCAUAUGUUUUUGAAUUUGAUGUAAUGUGAUUUAAUUUGAGGAUUUAAAUAUUUGAUUCAUGAUAACAUAUGGAUAAUUCACAUAUUGUUCUUAUGGAAUCCAUAUGUCGAGAUAAACUAUCAUUCUUGACAGCUAUGAUAUGAAAUUCUCGAUAGUUGGUUAUUGUUCCUCAACAAUUAUUAUACAAUGUCAAACUUGUUUCAUAUGCUCUUCCACGUGUGUUACAAAGUAAAUAUAUUAAAUAUUAUAAUUUGAUUUUUGGUAUUUGUUCAUGCUACCGAUUUUUCAAUAGAUUAACAAACUAUAAUGCCAUUGGAGGAUUGCUUGAAGGAUACGUCAGCACCAUCUUCUAGUAAAGGUUGUGCCCUCAAAUGCUACCGAUCUAAUUGAAAAUGAAGAAGUGAUGGUGAUGAAGAAAUGAUGCUCAACGCAAAUUCGAAUACUGUCUGCUUUGAAACCUUUUCCAAUGCAAUAAAGUUACAUAGUGCAUUUAUCUUUGAUAAAGAGGUAUUUUUCAUGGGUUUACUUUGGUAUCGUGUUCAUAUUAUUGUACAAAAGUUCUUCACCUUAAUAUAGUAACAAAAAUUAAAAUAUUCGGUUCAGGCUAUGUUGUUCAGUCUUCAGGCACUAACGCUUACUUGCGGUCAUAUGUUCAUUAAUUUCCCUCAAAGUAAGCUAUACCUUUCUUGAGACUAGAACUCCAUGCACGAGGAGUGGUAAAAAACGAAGAAAAACAUGAAAUAAUUGAAUUUUGAUGAACUAAAAUUAUUGUCGUCCCUCUUUGAAGGGUUGAGAAUCGUGAAAUUUUCUAAGUUAUGAAACUCAUGUACCUAAUCUUUGUAAGUAUAACUUAUUUUCGUAUAUGUGUAGUUUAUUUUGUAGUUUUGCGAAAAUAUAGUUGUUUAGCCAUUGUGUAACUUGAUUAUGUGACUGUUACUAGUUGUGUAUUAUAAUUAUGGUCAAGUUUAGGUAUAUUUAGCCAAGUGCAAAAAAUUAUAUGGACAUUCUAAUUUCUUUUCAAUUUAAUCAACUGCCCUGUGUGAUAUAAUGACCAUCCUUUACUUGAAAUGAUGAGAUGUUGCAUGAUGUGGAAAUCCAAUGAAUAAAUUUGGAUGAUGUUAGUGAUUCAUAUACAUUAAUCGAUCGUCUUGUCAUGGUUACUGUAUCUACGCAUUGCUAUAUAUCCAUUAUAUUAUCUAGUUUGUUACAAACCGUUAUUUAUUUUUUGAUUUGUCUUGUGUCAAACUUGCCAACAUACAAUUGUCGAAAAUUAGUGCCCAAAAAGUUUGUUAAUACUAUGAUAAACACUAUUUGGUGAUUGUGUACUGAAUGACCAUAGUAGGGACAAUUUUCCAAGAAUUUGAUUAUAAACAUGCUACAAUUCUCCAAGAAUUUGAUUAUAAACAUGCUAUUUGGUUUAUAUAUGUGCUUAUAAGUCUCCUAGAAUUGUCGUUUCCAUUUAUGCUAUGUUUGCUAGAUGUAGGGUGUAUGUUGUUAAUUUUUGUGAUAUGUGAACUUAUCAAUUUAUCAUACAUCAUUAUCUCUAUCGUUUAUUUUGCAUGCGACAUUUGGAAUAUUGCGUUCAUCCAUGGGAAUCAACCAAUCAUACGUUCUGAAUGAGCCUCCGACAAUAUCUUAUUCUUCCCCGAUAUUUUCCAUCAUAGUCGUAUUGAAUGAUAAGGAAGUCACCUCUCUGAAGGUUUCACCUCCUAAGAUUAUUGUCAUAAGCUUAGACGAUUCUGAUGAAGACAAUGGGAGGAACAAUCAAAUGUCGAUGACUAUUGAUGUGGGCAAAAUUUGUGUACAUCAUUGACUAUAAUUAUUUAUUGUAGUUUUGUCAUGGAUUCAUAUGCUAACGUCUGUACAGAAUGUUAUGCAACAACAUAUCCAAUAUGCAUCUUAUUUGUAGUUAAGUUUUCAAGUUUGCAA
rnacentral:lncRNA from 1 species